rnacentral:sRNA from 1 species
GUUUUAGAUUUAAAAGAGUAUCAUCUAAAGGAUCUGACAUUACAGACAAAAGAGAGAUCUGUCUAUGGCAGUGCAGAAAUUUUCCCAGUCAUUGCAAGAUUUCCAGUUUGAAUGUAUUGGUGAUGCUGAAACAGAUGAUGAAAUUAGUAUUGCUCAGUCACUAAAAGAAUUUGCAAGACUACUCAUUGCAGUAGAAGAAGAAAGGCGAAGACUGGCAAUGUUUUAAGAGGUUUUGCUGCCAGCCCCCAAAAAGCAGGCGAUAAAAAUGAGAAUAGCUUGACAUUUCCAUGGCAAACUUCUCGGUGUUGUUGUAACUGGAGCUUGGAUGAGGAUGAGACAAGCCACAUUGGAGAAUGAUCCAAAACGCUAAUGAUGUAUUAAUUGCACCACUUGAGAAAUUUCGAAAAGAACAGAUAGGUGCAGCAAAAGAUGGAAAGAAGAAGUUUGACAAAGAGAGUGAAAAAUAUUACUCUAUCCUUGAAAAGCAUUUAAAUUUGUCCG